rnacentral:rRNA from 1 species
GACGAACGCUGGCGGCGUGCCUAAUACAUGCAAGUAGAACGCUGAAGGAGGAGCUUGCUCUUCUGGAUGAGUUGCGAACGGGUGAGUAACGCGUAGGUAACCUGCCUGGUAGCGGGGGAUAACUAUUGGAAACGAUAGCUAAUACCGCAUAAGAGUAGAUGUUGCAUGACAUUUGCUUAAAAGGUGCAAUUGCAUCACUACCAGAUGGACCUGCGUUGUAUUAGUUAGUUGGUGAGGUAACGGCUCACCAAGGCGACGAUACAUAGCCGACCUGAGAGGGCGAUCGGCCACACUGGGACUGAGACACGGCCCAGACUCCUACGGGAGGCAGCAGUAGGGAAUCUUCGGCAAUGGACGGAAGUCUGACCGAGCAACGCCGCGUGAGUGAAGAAGGUUUUCGGAUCGUAAAGCUCUGUUGUAAGAGAAGAACGAGUGUGAGAGNGGAAAGUUCACACNGNGACGG